rnacentral:rRNA from 1 species
UACGGGGGGGGCAAGCGUUGUUCGGAAUUACUGGGCGUAAAGGGCUCGUAGGCGGCCAACUAAGUCAUACGUGAAAUCCCUCGGCUUAACCGGGGAACUGCGUCUGAUACUGGAUGGCUUGAGAUUGGGAGAGGGAUGCGGAAUUCAUGGUGUAGCAGUGAAAUGCGUAGAUAUCAUGAGGAAUACCAGAGGCGAAGGCGGCUACCUGGACAAUUGCUGACGCUCAGGCACGAAAGCGUGGGGAGCAAAAGGG